rnacentral:rRNA from 1 species
CUUACACAUGCAAGUCGAACGGUAACAGCACUUCGGUGGCUGACGAGUGGCGGACGGGUGAGUAAUACAUCGGAACGUGCCCGAUCGUGGGGGAUAACUACUCGAAAGAGUGGCUAAUACCGCAUACGAUCUACGGAUGAAAGCGGGGGAUCGCAAGACCUCGCGCGGACGGAGCGGCCGAUGGCAGAUUAGGUAGUUGGUGGGAUAAAAGCUUACCAAGCCGACGAUCUGUAGCUGGUCUGAGAGGACGACCAGCCACACUGGGACUGAGACACGGCCCAGACUCCUACGGGAGGCAGCAGUGGGGAAUUUUGGACAAUGGGGGAAACCCUGAUCCAGCCAUGCCGCGUGCAGGAUGAAGGCCUUCGGGUUGUAAACUGCUUUUGUACGGAACGAAAAGACUCUUUCUAAUACAGAGGGUCCAUGACGGUACCGUAAGAAUAAGCACCGGCUAACUACGUGCCAGCAGCCGCGGUAAUACGUAGGUGCAAGCGUUAAUCGGAAUUACUGGGGC